AUUGAACGCUGGCGGCAGGCCUAACACAUGCAAGUCGAACGAGUGGCGGACGGGUGAGUAAUGUCUGGGAAACUGCCCGAUGGAGGGGGAUAACUACUGGAAACGGUAGCUAAUACCGCAUACCAUCGCAGGUGCCCAGAUGGGAUUAGCUUGGGGGUGGGGUAAUGGCUCACCUAGGCGACGAUCCCUAGCUGGUCUGAGAGGAUGACCGUCCAACCGGGAACGGAGACACGGCCCGGACUCCUACGGGCGGCAGCCGUGGGGAAUCUUGCACAAUGGGCGCAGGCCUAAUGCAGCCAUGCCGCGUGUAUGAAGAAGGCCUUCGGGUUUUAAAGUCCUUUCAGCGGGGAGGCGUUACCCGCAGAAGAAGCACCGGCUAACUCCGUGCCAGCAGCCGCGGUAAUUC
rnacentral:rRNA from 1 species